CCAAGUUGGAACUGGCUCCACCUCAGAAGACUCUGCUGGAUCAGCAGGAAUGAUCGGUGGCUGAUCAUUGUAUUGGGUUCGUCAUCUCCUAAUCCAAUAAGCCUUGGUCUCUUGCUUCAACAGUCCACGCACGGCCCUCUUCAUCAGUCUCCCGUCUUGCCUCCUGGAUCAUGACA